rnacentral:rRNA from 2 species
UGGGCGGGCGGGCCUAAUACAUGCAAGUCGAGCGGACUUAAAAAGCUUGCUUUUUAAGUUAGCGGCGGACGGGUGAGUAACACGUGGGCAACCUGCCUGUAAGACUGGGAUAACUUCGGGAAACCGGAGCUAAUACCGGAUAAUCCUUUUCUACUCAUGUAGAAAAGCUGAAAGACGGUUUACGCUGUCACUUACAGAUGGGCCCGCGGCGCAUUAGCUAGUUGGUGAGGUAACGGCUCACCAAGGCGACGAUGCGUAGCCGACCUGAGAGGGUGAUCGGCCACACUGGGACUGAGACACGGCCCAGACUCCUACGGGAGGCAGCAGUAGGGAAUCUUCCGCAAUGGACGAAAGUCUGACGGAGCAACGCCGCGUGAGUGAUGAAGGUUUUCGGAUCGUAAAACUCUGUUGUUAGGGAAGAACAAGUACGAGAGUAACUGCUCGUACCUUGACGGUACCUAACCAGAAAGCCACGGCUAACUACGUGCCAGCAGCCGCGGUAAUACGUAGGUGGCAAGCGUUGUCCGGAAUUAUUGGGCGUAAAGCGCGCGCAGGCGGUCCUUUAAGUCUGAUGUGAAAGCCCACGGCUCAACCGUGGAGGGUCAUUGGAAACUGGGGGACUUGAGUGCAGAAGAGAAGAGUGGAAUUCCACGUGUAGCGGUGAAAUGCGUAGAGAUGUGGAGGAACACCAGUGGCGAAGGCGACUCUUUGGUCUGUAACUGACGCUGAGGCGCGAAAGCGUGGGGAGCAAACAGGAUUAGAUACCCUGGUAGUCCACGCCGUAAACGAUGAGUGCUAAGUGUUAGAGGGUUUCCGCCCUUUAGUGCUGCAGCAAACGCAUUAAGCACUCCGCCCUGGGGAGUACGGCGCAAGGCUUGAACUCAAAGGGAAUUGACGGGCCCGCACAGCCGCUGAAGCAUGUGUUAUUCGGGAGCAAACCCGCGAAGUAAA